rnacentral:lncRNA from 1 species
AAAAUUACCUACAUAAUAAAGCAUCUAAUAUUACAUGAAAAUUAGAUAAGACACGAUGUGCAAUUCCAACAAAAGCAUGUUCUACUUUAACAUUUUGUGGGAAAUAGCAUAUCGAAAAUCAUGGAUGAAAAUGUGCUUUGUUACCAUGUUUUGGAUUCCAAUAUCUUUCACCACAUCACUGCUUCAAAGUUCACUGAACUCAAACAAAACUCAAAUUGAAUUGAUUAGAAACUCAUUAUUUCAUUGGGAUUUAAGGUUACCUUAAGAGGUGGAUGUUGAUAUCAUGGCACUUGUCACCAUCUGAAUCCCAAGUCCCACCACAUUCCAACCAUGCUACCGAUAGUCCACUUCAAUCAUGCAGGAAUGGAGUGCCACAAGCACCACAAAGUAAGUACUGCUCAUUUAGAUGGUGGUUUCCCAAAGCAGCUUAGGAUGCCACAAGCACCGCAAAGUAGGUACUGCUUAUAUAGAUGGUGGUAUCCCAAAGCAGCUUAGGAUGCCACAAGCACCACAAAGCAGGUACUGCUCAUAGAUGGUGGUUUCCCAAAGCAGUUUAGGAUGCCAGCAAAGGAGGUGAAAUGCAGAUGUCAGCAAAAAAGGUUUUCUUUUUUUUCCCCUUCUUUGUUUCAAAUUUAUGUUGCUUUUUCAUAGAAAUGGAUUAGUAAGGGACAGGUGUGUAACACCCCCAUUUUUCGGAUGUAAAAUAAUACUUAAUGGUCUACUUGAUAGGUAUACUUCAUUUAAGCUGAGCUUAGAUAUAUUUUGGGCAUAGUUCAGACUUAACAAAUUAAUGGGUCAAUUAUUUAUGACAAAUAACAUCAAAGCCAUCCAACGAUUGAGUAUAUCGAGAGGCUCAAGUAGCAGAAAAGAAAAUUUUGCCUAUGCAUAUAUCGUGAAGUGGAGCCACCACAGGCCUACAGCCCUCUAAUGCACAUACUAAGUUUUAAUUUUGAACUAUGUUAAUCCUUGAUGAGAAGGUCAAGCCCUUAAGUGAGAAAAUAAUAACACUCAAUUUAGUCUAAUGUUGGAAAUGGCAUAAGGCUAAGCUUCAUGACUAGCAUUAACUUUACCUUGGACUUAAACAUUUUGGGUAGGCCAUUCAUGCUAAACAUGUUGAUGGGUCAAUUAUUCUAUCGGGCCAGAUCAUGACAAGGUAAUUACUAAGCUAAUCUUUGAGCUGACUAGGACACAAAACCAGAACUUGAAAUCUGACUACAAUAGUUUUGUAGAUUAAGCACAUUUAAGAAGAAAGAAAACCAUAUGACAAUGUGAACACUUAACACAAGCGCAUGCCUAUAUUGCCAUCUGUAGAAUAUUAAAUGAUAACCAAUUGUCUGAUAAUUGAUGGAAUUAUGCAAGCACCAAUUCCUGCAUUAUAAUGAACAACAGUUCCUUCCUCAGAUGCACAUUAUACUCUAUCGACCUUCUUACUAAACAACUAUAUAUUGAGCAGUAAAAUCUAAAAUAAAUUAAGAACUUUGAACUUCAGUAAGUUCUCACGUCAACUCAAUUUGGCUUGUUUCAAAGCCUAGCUAAGUUCCUAAGAUUUUAAAUUAUGGUAACCAUGAACCUGUGUCCAAGAAGUACAUAGAUAUUGACAUUGCAGGUCUAGUAAUGUUUUCUUGUUCUAUGAGACAAAACACUUGAAAAGGCUUAAAAACAAUCGUGUGAGGAGAAAAUCAAGUGAAAUCUUACAUUACUUACAAGCACCAAAAUCUUUACUGCACUAAUGUGGCUUAAUGGAAACAAACAUAAAUUUGGUUAACAAAGGACCAGGUGUAUAGAUCCAAAAAUACCAGGCAAAAACAAUUCAGGUUCACAUUAAAAUAUGCAAACACUAUGCUCACCACACCACUCCCAACCCAGAAAAGGAGAAAUUUUAAGCAACCUAAUAGAUAACUGUUGAUAUCAGAGGUAAGUAGAAAGUGAAUAAGGAAUAAAAAAUAAAGCAAGUGGACUAGAAGGUGUAAAUAUCACUAUGUUUCCAUAUAGUCUUGAAAAUUGUCUCCAGUAGCAACAAAUAUCCCAACUGCAUCUUAAACAGUAAAGUGAUAAUAUAAUUUUUUUAAA